AACGAACGCUGGCGGCAGGCCUAACACAUGCAAGUCGAACGCCCUAGCAAUAGGGAGUGGCAGACGGGUGAGUAACACGUGGGAACGUGCCCUUCGGUUCGGAAUAACUCAGGGAAACUUGAGCUAAUACCGGAUAAGUGCGAGAGCAGAAAGAUUUAUCGCCGAAGGAUCGGCCCGCGUCCGAUUAGCUAGUUGGUGAGGUAAUGGCUCACCAAGGCGACGAUCGGUAGCUGGUCUGAGAGGAUGACCAGCCACACUGGGACUGAGACACGGCCCAGACUCCUACGGGAGGCAGCAGUGGGGAAUAUUGGACAAUGGGCGCAAGCCUGAUCCAGCCAUGCCGCGUGAGUGGUGAAGGCCCUAGGGUUGUAAAGCUCUUUCGCCAGGGACGAUAAUGACGGUACCUGGAUAAGAAGCCCCGGCUAACUUCGUGCCAGCCGCCGCAGUAA
rnacentral:rRNA from 1 species